AGUGUAGACGGAGUGGCAAGUCUGAUGUGAAAACCCGGGGCUCAACCCCGGGACUGCAUUGGAAACUGUCUGGCUCGAGUGCCGGAGAGGUAAGCGGAAUUCCUAGUGUAGCGGUGAAAUGCGUAGAUAUUAGGAAGAACACCAGUGGCGAAGGCGGCUUACUGGACGGUAACUGACGUUGAGGCUCGAAAGCGUGGGGAGGCAAAACA
rnacentral:rRNA from 1 species